rnacentral:rRNA from 1 species
GGUUGUAAACGGCUUUUGACAGGGAAGAAGAGUGAGGNUGCGUCCUCANGUGACGGUACCUGUUGAAUAAGCACCGGCUAACUCCGUGCCAGCAGCCGCGGUAAUACGGAGGGUGCGAGCGUUGUCCGGAUUUAUUGGGUUUAAAGGGUGCGUAGGCGGGCUUAUAAGUCAGUGGUGAAAUCCAGCUGCUCAACAGUUGAUGUGCCAUUGAUACUGUAAGUCUUGAAGUAAUUGGAGGCUGCCGGAACGGAUGGUGUAGCGGUGAAAUGCAUAGAUAUCAUCCAGAACACCUAUUGCGAANGCAGGUGGCUACGAUUAACUUGACGCUGAGGCACGAAAGCAUGGGGGAGCAAACAGGAUUAGAUACCCUGGUAGUCCAAGG